rnacentral:rRNA from 1 species
UACGUAGGGGGCGAGCGUUGUCCGGAUUUACUGGGCGUAAAGGGUGAGUAGGCGGUUGUAUAUGUCAGGUGUAAAAGGCUAUGGCUUAACCAUGGUUAGCACUUGAAACUGUACAACUUGAGUGCAGGAGAGGUAAGUGGAAUUCCUAGUGUAGCGGUGAAAUGCGUAGAUAUUAGGAGGAACACCAGCGGCGAAGGCGACUUACUGGACUGUAACUGACGCUGAGUCACGAAAGCGUGGGUAGCAAACAGGAUUAGAUACCCUGGUAGUCCCU